rnacentral:rRNA from 1 species
UACAGAGGGUGCAAGCGUUAAUCGGAAUUACUGGGCGUAAAGCGUGCGUAGACGGUUACAUAAGUCGGGUGUGAAAGCCCCGGGCUCAACCUGGGAAUUGCAUUCGAGACUGCGUAGCUAGGGUGCGGAAGAGGGAAGCGGAAUCUCCGGUGUAGCGGUGAAAUGCGUAGAUAUCGGAAGGAACACCAGUGGCGAAAGCGGCUUCCUGGUCCAGCACCGACGUUCAGGCACGAAAGCGUGGGGAGCAAACAGG